rnacentral:rRNA from 1 species
GAUGAACGCUGACAGAAUGCUUAACACAUGCAAGUCUACUUGAUUCUACUUCGGUAGUUGAUGGUGGCGGACGGGUGAGUAACGCGUAAAGAAUCUGCCCUUUAGCUUGGGAUAACCUUUGGAAACGAAGGCUAAUACCGGAUAUUAUGGAGACGUCGCAUGGCGACCCCAUGAAAGCUAUAUGCGCUAGAGGAGGACUUUGCGUCCCAUUAGUUAGUUGGUGAGGUAAUGGCUCACCAAGACCGCGAUGGGUAGCCGGCCUGAGAGGGUGAUCGGCCACAAGGGAACUGAGACACGGUCCUUACUCCUACGGGAGGCAGCAGUGGGGAAUAUUGGACAAUGGGCCACAAGCCUGAUCCAGCAAUUCUGUGUGCACGAUGAAGGUCUUCGGAUUGUAAAGUGCUUUCAGUAGGGAAGAAAAAAAUGACGGUACCUACAGAAGAAGCGACGGCUAAAUAUGUGCCAGCAGCCGCGGUAAUAC